rnacentral:rRNA from 1 species
GACGAACGCUGGCGGCGUGCUUAACACAUGCAAGUCGAACGGUAAGGCCCUUCGGGGGACACGAGUGGCGAACGGGUGAGUAACACGUGGGUUAUCUCCCCUGCACUUUGGGAUAAGCCUGGGAAAUUGGGUCUAAUACCGAAUACUCCCUGCUGGUUGCAUUGCCUGGCAGGGGAAAGCUUUUUCGGUGUGGGAUGGGCCCGCGGCCUAUCAGCUUGUUGGUGGGGUGAUGGCCUACCAAGGCGACGACGGGUAGCCGGCCUGAGAGGGUGACCGGCCACACUGGGACUGAGAUACGGCCCAGACUCCUACGGGAGGCAGCAGUGGGGAAUAUUGCACAAUGGGCGCAAGCCUGAUGCAGCGACGCCGCGUGAGGGAUGACGGCCUUCGGGUUGUAAACCUCUUUCAGCUAUGACGAAGCGCAAGUGACGGUAGUAGCAGAAAAAGGACCGGCCAACUACGUGCCAGCAGCCGCAGUAA